rnacentral:rRNA from 1 species
GCGCGAGCGUUGUCCGGAAUUAUUGGGCGUAAAGGGCUUGUAGGCGGUUGGUUGCGUCUGCCGUGAAAUCCUCUGGCUUAACUGGGGGCGUUCGGUGGGUACGGGCUGGCUUGAGUGCGGUAGGGGAGACUGGAAUUCCUGGUGUAGCGGUGGAAUGCGCAGAUAUCAGGAGGAACACCGGUGGCGAAGGCGGGUCUCUGGGCCGUUACUGACGCUGAGGAGCGAAAGCGUGGGGAGCGAACA